rnacentral:rRNA from 1 species
AGUGAACGCUGGCGGUAGGCCUAACACAUGCAAGUCGAACGGAGUGGCGGACGGGUGAGUAAUGCCUAGGAAACUGCCUGGUAGAGGGGGAUAACGACCGGAAACGGGAGCUAAUACCGCAUACUAUCAGAUGAGCCUAGGUGGGAUUAGCUAGUUGGUGGGGUAACGGCUUACCAAGGCGACGAUCCGUAGCUGGUCUGAGAGGAUGAUCAGUCACACUGGAACUGAGACACGGUCCAGACUCCUACGGGAGGCAGCAGUGGGGAAUAUUGGACAAUGGGCGAAAGCCUGAUCCAGCCAUGCCGCGUGUGUGAAGAAGGUCUUCGGAUUGUAAAGUACUUUAAGUUGGGAGGCGUUACCCGCAGAAUAAGCACCGGCUAACUCCGUGCCAGCAGCCGCGGUAAUAC